AUUGGGACUGAGACACGGCCCAAACUCCUACGGGAGGCAGCAGUGGGGAAUAUUGCACAAUGGGCGAAAGCCUGAUGCAGCGACGCCGCGUGAGCGAAGAAGUAUUUCGGUAUGUAAAGCUCCAUCAGCAGGGAAGAUAAUGACGGUACCUGACUAAGAAGCACCGGCUAAAUACGUGCCAGCAGCCGCGGUAAUACGUAUGGUGCAAGCGUUAUCCGGAUUUACUGGGUGUAAAGGGAGCGCAGGCGGUGCGGCAAGUCUGAUGUGAAAGCCCGGGGCUCAACCCCGGUACUGCAUUGGAAACUGUCGUACUAGAGUGUCGGAGGGGUAAGCGGAACUCCUAGUGUAGCGGUGAAAUGCGUAGAUAUUAGGAGG
rnacentral:rRNA from 1 species